rnacentral:rRNA from 1 species
UGGGCGUUAAGUUGCAGGGUAUAGACCCGAAACCCGGUGAUCUAGCCAUGGGCAGGUUGAAGGUUGGGUAACACUAACUGGAGGACCGAACCGACUAAUGUUGAAAAAUUAGCGGAUGACCUGUGGCUGGGGGUGAAAGGCCAAUCAAACCGGGAGAUAGCUGGUUCUCCCCGAAAGCUAUUUAGGUAGCGCCUCGUGAAUUCAUCUCCGGGGGUAGAGCACUGUUUCGGCUAGGGGGCCAUCCCGGCUUACCAACCCGAUGCAAACUGCGAAUACCGGAGAAUGUUAUCACGGGAGACACACGGCGGGUGCUAACGUCCGUCGUGAAGAGGGAAACAACCCAGACCGCCAGCUAAGGUCCCAAAGUCAUGGUUAAGUGGGAAACGAUGUGGGAAGGCCCAGACAGCCAGGAUGUUGGCUUAGAAGCAGCCAUCAUUUAAAGAAAGCGUAAUAGCUCACUGGUCGAGUCGGCCUGCGCGGAAGAUGUAACGGGGCUAAACCAUGCACCGAAGCUGCGGCAGCGACACUGUGUGUUGUUGGGUAGGGGAGCGUUCUGUAAGCCUGUGAAGGUGUGUCGUGAGGCAUGCUGGAGGUAUCAGAAGUGCGAAUGCUGACAUAAGUAACGAUAAAGCGGGUGAAAAGCCCGCUCGCCGGAAGACCAAGGGUUCCUGUCCAACGUUAAUCGGGGCAGGGUGAGUCGACCCCUAAGGCGAGGCCGAAAGGCGUAGUCGAUGGGAAACGGGUUAAUAUUCCCGUACUUGGUGUUACUGCGAAGGGGGGACGGAGAAGGCUAUGUUGGCCGGGCGACGGUUGUCCCGGUUUAAGCGUGUAGGUGUGUGUUCCAGGUAAAUCCGGUUCACUUUAACACUGAGGCGUGACGACGAGGCACUACGGUGCUGAAGCAACAAAUGCCCUGCUUCCAGGAAAAGCCUCUAAGCAUCAGGUAACAUCAAAUCGUACCCCAAACCGACACAGGUGGUCAGGUAGAGAAUACCAAGGCGCUUGAGAGAACUCGGGUGAAGGAACUAGGCAAAAUGGUGCCGUAACUUCGGGAGAAGGCACGCUGACACGUAGGUGAAGUGAUUUACUCAUGGAGCUGAAGUCAGUCGAAGAUACCAGCUGGCUGCAACUGUUUAUUAAAAACACAGCACUGUGCAAACACGAAAGUGGACGUAUACGGUGUGACGCCUGCCCGGUGCCGGAAGGUUAAUUGAUGGGGUCAGCGCAAGCGAAGCUCCUGAUCGAAGCCCCGGUAAACGGCGGCCGUAACUAUAACGGUCCUAAGGUAGCGAAAUUCCUUGUCGGGUAAGUUCCGACCUGCACGAAUGGCGUAAUGAUGGCCAGGCUGUCUCCACCCGAGACUCAGUGAAAUUGAACUCGCUGUGAAGAUGCAGUGUACCCGCGGCAAGACGGAAAGACCCCGUGAACCUUUACUAUAGCUUGACACUGAACAUUGAGCCUUGAUGUGUAGGAUAGGUGGGAGGCUUUGAAGCGUGGACGCCAGUCUGCGUGGAGCCG